GGUAGGGGGUAGGGGCAGUAGGCAGAAGUUUUGCCUAGGGUGCCAUGAAACCUUGCACCGGCCCUGCUGACAUGGUCACAUCUGAUGCGACCACCCCAGGCAACAGGUUAAUUUAAAAAACAAAAUUGGCUAAAGUUUAAGGGGUAUAUGCAAUUCUGGCCGAAUUGCGUCUUUUUUUCGACCGUUUUAGGAUUCGACUGUUCUCGACAGCCGAAACCCUCCACCCGGGACCAUGAAUUCGACAUAUUCAAUACAAAACGCAUUCGACACUCCCCUUGUCGAAUAACGGACCAAUCGUCGACUUUAUAGGGCUUGUUUGCUGCGUGCUCAGCAGCCAUUUUGUGAACCUGCAGAGAGGUGUGUGGAGGUGCAGAGCUAGCAAAUUGGUUGUUUGCUGUGGUUUCGUUUGUACACCCAGCAGGCUUUAAUCCAGGACGGACAGGAGGAUACCUGUUACCCCGGAGGAGAGUCGUUUUUGGAGCUAUUUCUACAUUUCUAGGUAAGUACCACAUGUGGUCUGGCGUUGCUUGUAUGUGUUUGUGUAGUGGGGGGGUGCCAUGAGGUGUACAUGUGGCGUUGCUUUGGGGUGUUUGGGGUAUGUAUAUGUGUGCAGGUAUGUGUAUAUAGCUCCUGCUUGUAUUGCUGCAUUUUUGGGGGGGAGUUUUGUGUUUGGGACUAGUUUUUCACGUUUUUUUUUCCCAUAAAAUGUUUUUUGGGUCAUGCUUUUGCAUUGCUGUACCUCCAGCAUGUGCAGGAAUGAUUUUUGGCUUGUUUUGGGUGAUUUUAGACCGUGUCGGUAUCCACCAUGUGGUCGACAGGUGAUGUGGUUUGUUUCCAAAAGAUGGUUUUUUUGCUCCUAUUUUAGCACUGGUGUAUCCCUGCACAUGCUGGAGGUACUUUUUGGCUUGUUUGGGGUGAUUUUCAUUGUGUUUGUAUCAGCCAUGUGGUCGACAUGUGAUGUCGUUUGUUUGCAAAACAUGUUUUUUGCUCCUACUUUAGCACUGGUUGACCUCCAGCAUGUGCAGGGAUGGUUUUUGGCUUGUUUGGGGUGAUUUUAGAGUGUGUCGGUAUCUGCCAUGUGGCCGACAUGUGUCGUUUGUUCCCAAAAUAUGUUUUUUUGCUCCUAUUUUAGCACUGGUGCAUCCCUGCACAUGCUGUAGUUAAUUAUUGGCUUGUAUGGGCUGACUUUGACUGUGUCGGUAUCUGCCAUGCGGCCGACAUGCGGUGUAGAUUGUUUCCAAAACAUGUUUUUUGCUCCUACUUUAGCACUGGUUGACCUCCAGCAUAUGCAGGGAUGCUUGCACGGUGGUUUUGGCUUGUUUGGCUGAGGUUUUUUCAAGUUUUCAAUUUUAUUUUUGUUGUGUUUGGUCCUGCUUGAGCACUGGGGUCCCAGCAGCAUGAUGUGUGGUUGCAUGUAAUUAUGUAAUGUGUGUUAAAUUUGUAAAAAUAUAUUUUUUUCUUUUUUCAACAGAGAUGUCCAGGGACAAGCGGCCCCGAUCCCCCCCCCCUUCCCCCCACCCCUUAGAAGCAUUUUCCCUGCACAGCAAUGAGGAGUGGGAGCCGACCCAGGAGGAGGAUACGACCGACCAGGCAUGCAGUGACCAGCAGCGGUCGUCAAGGGACCAAAGACAGAAGCAAAAAAAAAAAAGAAAAGGCCUAGACAGGCAAGAAGCCAGCCAUAGGAUCAGUCGGAGGAGGAAGCCUCUGGUGAAGAUGCAGGACAGAAGAAGCCGCGUGGACCCAGAUACUGUACACUGAGGCGGAAAACGAUGCCCUAGUGGAUGGCGUCGACAGAUCCUACAACAUUCUGUAUGGACCAAGGGCACAGACCACAGCAGCUAAGACCAAGCGAAACAUCUGGGAUGCCAUCGCGAGACAAGUCACUGCAGUAUCUGGAAACCGCCGGAGCACCAGAAACUGCAUGAAGCGGUACAGUGAUUGCCGCAGACAGACCAAGAAGAAGAUGGGGAUUCAGCGCCGACAUGAGACAGCUACGGGAGGUGGUCCGGCUCUCAAUCUGAAGUAGCUACCCUGGGAGAAUGUUAUUAGAAGGCGCAUGAACCCUGUUAUGGUCCAAGGAGUUCGCGGAGGUGUGGACUCUAGCCGUCCUGCUGGCUUUCCCGAGGAGGAAGAACCGCCCAGAAGACGGAAGACGGCGGGAGACAAGCAGUCCAAAAGGAGGCCUGAUGACACGCCUGCCCAGAGGACAUCACCUGCGUGCAGGACAUCGGCAGCGCGCGGACCAUCACCUGCGCAGCAGGCAUCGGCAGCAGCGCGCGGACCAUCACCUGCGCAGCAAGCAUCAGGAGCGCGCAGAUCAUCACUUGCGCACCACAUAUCGGCAGCACGCAGAAAGUCACCUGCGCGCCAGACAUUGCCAGCGCGCAGACCAUCACCUGCGUGCCAGACAUCAGCGCGCAGAACGUCACCUGCGGGCCAGACACCGUCGGCGACCACACCACCAGCUGGGCACCAAACUACAUCUCCUGCGCGCAGGCCAUCACCAGCUCGUCAUCUCUCCAGGAGCACUGGGACAGUGACUGAAGAGCCUCAACAAGACACUACCCUUGUGGACCCAUCACCCGAACUGUUUGAGUUUACAGGGUUAACGGACGAGACUUUUCUUGGGUUUGAAGACAGCCGUGCAGACGUAUCCAGUCAUACCCUUGAAAAGUCUCCAGAAUUGAGGACAAGUGAAGCUCCUGGAGCAGCGGCACCACAGGAUGGAGAAGAGGUGCCACGGACCAGCAGCUGACUUGCGUCGGGGAUUGGUCCCUUCUUCAGGCCGGAUCUCCUACAGGAUUCGUCGGACGACGAGGUGGAAGUGCAGCAGCCCGCUGUUUCUACAUCCCUGUCUGCACAAAUGCAAUUGGUGGCAGACGUACAGGAAGGGCAGGAUCCCUCAAAUGUUCAGAGGGUACACUCCCUGGCAGCAGAGAUGACCACCCGCCAGGAUACCUACACGAAUGUCGUUGAAACCAGACUGGACGCCAUUGAGAAGACAAUGGAGAAGAUGGCAAACGGUCUGGUUGAAAUGCAAAAGGCUCUUGCCGACAGCACGGCAGAAACGCAAAAGACCAGACGAGAAGAUCACAGGGAGACUAUGGACAUCCUUCAAGUUCUGGCCACAUCCAUCAACCGGCUGGUGGAUAACACAUCAUGCCUGGCACACAGCGUUGACAACAUGUCGGAGAGCCAACGUCAUUCGGCAUCCAGCCACCAGAUCAUCGCAACCACACUGCAGAUGAUGUACGAUAUGCUCCCAGAGCCAGCUCGUCAACACGCUGGCGAACCACCACAUCCGCCAUCACAUGCCACAUGGACGCCUCCUGCCCUUCCUCCACCACCAUCCUGGUAUGGACGGUCACAUCUGUACCAAGGAUAUACAGGGAUGUACCCCACCCACCAGAUGCCUCCAACACCGCAUCAUCUACACCCGCACGGCCACCGAGGCCAAGUCAACGAACUCCACAGCCGCCCAGGCGAUCGACGCCCCAUCAGGAGGAAGAAGAGGAUCCAGAUGGACAACCACCAUAAGCCCGGUCGUAUUGUUUUAUUAUAUACUAUUUAUGUUUUUCAUGUUUCCCUUUCUCCCCCUCCCAUUAGUUUGUUUUUUUCCAUACUAUUGUUUUAAUUUUUGUGUUGGGCUCCCCCACCCGUGACCGGAUACUACCAAGGAGCUAUGUCUAGGCCAGGGGCGUGCAGUCAGGGGAGGCAGUGCCUCCCCUGUCAUUAAUGAGUAAAAUAAUACAAAGAAGAUACUUAUGACACAUAAGUAUCUUCUUUAUUAUUUUGCUCAUCAUUAAAGUGUUCCUAAUCAGUUUGGGAGGCACCGAUCGUGGUGCCUCCCGUAGUGAUUGGGGAAAGAUAUGGGAGCGGGAGGUGGGCGCGGGCGGGGCCUAGCAAUGGGCAGGAAAAGCUAAUUGAAAUAACAUGGGAAAGCGGCACCAUUAGAGGUGCCGCUUUCCUACAGGGACGUGCUUUCAACCUAUGAAAGCACGUCCCUGUGAGUGAGGCCACAGUGAUUGGCCAGCGGAUCCGUCACUGGAUUCGCUGUCAAUCACUGUGUGGGCGGCGGAGGUGCGGGAUGCGGCGGGCCGGGCGGCGGAGAUGCGGGCGGCGGCGGGACGCGGCAUUCAGGCCCAUUGUGCACUGUGCAGAGUUUGGCAGCGGAAGCAGUACCCAUUUCAAAAAUGGCGCCUCAGCGUCAUUUUUUAAAUUCAAGAUGGCCGCCGCGAGCCAAUCAUGGCUCGCCGCGUCAUCGCCCCGCCCCCUCCCGCUGAUUUAUAUAAGUCAGCGCGAGGCAGCGGCUGUCAGUCCGACGGCGGAGGAGGAGCAGAGAGGAGCUCCUGAAGAUCGAAUACGUCGUGGAAGUCCUGGAUGGGCGGCGGCUAUGCAAAAGAGCUUAGCAGCCGCCGCCCACCAGGUGAAGACGCCGGAGGAAGACGCCAGAAGCCCUGGGGAGGUGGCGCCCCCCCAGGUGAAGACGCCGGAAGCCCUGGGAAGGCGGCGGCCACGCAAAAGAGCUUAAAGGCCGCCGCCCCCAGGUGAAGACCCAGUUUAAUAAAGUUUUUUUUAAAGAAUGUGUAGUGUUUUUUUUUUAUAUUUUCUUUACAGGUGGACUACAGGUACCAGCGGGCCCUUUAUGUCCGGGCAUGCUGGCACUUGUGGUUCUCCAAGUGCCAGCAUGCUGGGGCAGGCUUGCUGGGACCUGUAGGCCACAUGUAAAGAACAAUAUUACUAUUCUUUGCAGGUUGACUACAGGUGCCAGUGGGCCAUUUAUGUCCGGGCAUGCUGGCACUUGUGCUUCUCCAAGUGCCAGCGUGCUGGGGCAGGCUUGCUGGGAUCUGUAGGCCACCUGUAAAGAACAGUAUUAGCAUACAAUGAACCCCGCACCCACCGCCACCAGGGGUGUGGGGCAUAGCACUGGGCUAUCAGCCCAGUGCUGGUUGUUGCUUGGGAGGGGGGACCCCAUUUUGAUUUUUUGGGGGCCCCACUUUCCGAGGAAUUCCAGCCCUGGGCUGACUGGUUUGGGGCUGUUUAAUGGCAUGGCAGGGGGACCCCACACUGAGUGUCUCCCCUGCUAUGGCAUUAUCCCCCCCGGCUGGUUCUGCCUGGUGCUGGUUUCAGUGGUGUGGGGGGACUGCACUUUUUUUUUUCCGGGGGGGGGGUUUAGCUGCAGUGCCUCCCCAGCCCCUGACAUCACCGCACGUCACUGGUCUAGGCAUACAUGCGCGGGCAUGUAUGCGGGCGCGUGUGGUGACUGAUGAAAGCUCCUUGUGGUUACAUGUAUGAUGGGCCAAAGAGGUAUUCUGACACCACUUUUUUUUUUUUAAACAAAAUCCUUUUUGUAUUGGUGUAAAAUAGGCUUUCACUGUUGUAUGAAUUUACUAUUCACUAGUGUUUAUUUUUGGCUUCUUCAUAGGAUUGGUUGGAAAAUUGAAGUGGACGGCGUAGUUCGUGUUGUGCGUACCAAGAUAUCUACACAAGAAAAGAAUGUAAAGAAGAACAAACAUUACUUUUUUUGUUUUAUUACAUUUUAUUUUUUAAUCCAAAAUUAAAUACAAAUAUAUUUCUUCAAGAAAUUUUAAAAUGAGAAGUUUUGUGUGUUUUUAUUUAAAUUAAUAGCAAAUAAAAUGUAAAAUAUGGUAUUUCAGAGAUGCAGUGGUAUUGUGUUAGGUCGCCCAUGGUACAUCAGGG